AUUGCAGAAUAAGGACAAUAUUUUGAAAAAAAAUGUGAUGAGGAACAACUUGUAUUACUACAAGAUAAAUCAAAGAGCUUAUCAUUUGACAACAAAGGAAUAGACGAAAGAGUGGUUAAAUCCACAGAUGAUUGCUUUAUUGUAGAAGAAGAUCGACAAUCAAUACUGUGCUUGACAACAGACAAAAGUAUAUUAGAAGAAACGUUAAUCGAAGAAGUCAGAAAAAGACCUCCUUUGUAUGAUUAUACAUUGCCUUUGUCUGUUCGUGGCAGAUACAAACUUGCAGAGUUAUGGAAAGAAAUUUUUAAUGCUCUUAAUGGUCGUAUCAGUCCUGAAGAUGCUAAAAAGAGGUGGAAAUCACUUAAAGACACGUUUAGUAAAGCAGUGGCUGAAGGAAAAAAACCAAGUGGGUCAGCGAGAUCAAAUUCACAAAAACCAUGGAAACAUUUUGAAGCAAUGUCCUUUUUACGUUCAGUUUCUACAAGCAGAAAGUAUAUCACUUUUUACACA